GAGUUUGUAUCCUGGCUCGAGGAUGAACGCUAGCGGCAGGCCUAACUACAUGCCAAGUCGAGGGGCAGCGGGGUAGCAAUACCGGCCGGCGACCGGCGCACGGGUGCGUAACACGUAUACAAUCUGCCUUUAACAGGGGGAUAGCCUUUCGAAAGAGAGAUUAAUACCCCAUAAUAUCCAUACCGGCAUCGGUGAGGAUUGAAAGCUCCGGCGGUUAAAGAUGAGUAUGCGUCUGAUUAGCUAGUUGGUGAGGUAACGGCUCACCAAGGCGACGAUCAGUAGGGGAUCUGAGAGGACUACCCCCCACACGGAUACUGAGACACGGAUCCGACUCCUACGGGAGGCAGCAGUGGGGAAUUUUUGGGACAAUGGGGGGCAACCCCUGAUCCAGCCAUGCCGCGUGUGUGAAGAAGGCCC
rnacentral:rRNA from 1 species